ACCUGGCUGGCUGAGGAGAGCAUGUGACUCUUGAUCUCAGGGUUGUGAGUUCGAGCCCCAUGUCAGGCG
rnacentral:tRNA from 1 species